UUGGAGGGGCAAGUCUGGUGCCAGCAGCCGCGGUAAUUCCAGCUCCAAUAGCGUAUAUUAAAGUUGUUGUGGUUAAAAAGCUCGUAGUUGAACCUUGGGCCUGGCUGGCCGGUCCGCCUCACCGCGUGCACUGGUCCGGCCGGGCCUUUCCCUCUGCGGAACCCCAUGCCCUUCACUGGGUGUGGCGGGGAAACAGGACUUUUACUUUGAAAAAAUUAGAGUGCUCCAGGCAGGCCUAUGCUCGAAUACAUUAGCAUGGAAUAAUAGAAUAGGA
rnacentral:rRNA from 1 species